GGCUGGGCAAGGUGCGGGGCUAGGGCUAACAGCAGUCUUACUGAAGGUUUCCUGGAAACCACGCACAUGCUGUUGCCACUAACCUCAACCUUACUCGGUC
rnacentral:pre_miRNA from 11 species